rnacentral:rRNA from 1 species
AUGUGCUAUGGCGUGUACUUCGCCGCCAAGAAGCUGAAGCCCUACUUCCAAGAGCAUCCCAUCACGGUCGUAUGCACCGCCCCGCUGGCCGAGAUCAUAGGCAGCCGGGAUGCAUCCGGCCGGGUGGCGAAAUGGGCCAUCGAGCUAGCCCCUUACACGAUCUUCUACCAGCCUCGCACAACCAUCAAGUCCCAAGCAUUGGCCGACUUCCUCGUCGACUGGGCUGAGACCCAGUACCUACCGCCGGCUCCCGACUCCACUCAUUGGCGCAUGCACUUCGAUGGGUCCAAGAUGCGCACCGACUUGGGAGCCGGCAUCAUCCUCACCUCUCCCAAAGGCGACAAGCUCAGAUACACGCUGCAAAUUCGCUUUGCUGCCUCCAACAACGUGGCCGAGUACGAGGCGCUCAUACACGGGCUCCGGCUUGCCAAAGAACUCGGCAUUCGCCGGAUCCUAUGUUAUGGCGACUCGGACUUGGUGGUCCAGCAAUCAUCCGGCGACUGGGAUGCCAAGGACGCAAAUAUGGCAAGCUACCGCUUCCUGGUUCAACAACUCAGCGGAUACUUUGAAGGAUGCGAGUUCCUCCACGUACGGCGAGCCGACAACGAGCCAGCCGAUGCCCUGGCUCGAAUAGGCUCCACUCGGCAAGCAAUACCAACUGGCGUCGCUCUACAGCGCCUCCUCAAGCCGUCCAUCAAGCCGUCUCCAGAGUCCCAUUCCAUCUUUGUACCGCCUGACCCCGACGCAGCCGGGUCCGGCUCGAAGAACCAAGCAGGCGACCCCGGGACUGCAGUAGUCAGCCCGGGGACUUCGGCAACCGGCUCGGGGACUGCCACACCCGGCUCGGGGACUGCAGUAGCCGGCCCGGGGACUGCACCAACACAACAGCCGGAGGCCGACUCCAGCAUUUCACCACCCAGCCCGCCCACCCUGGUGGCAGUAGCCACAUUGGCAGUAGGAGAAGUCGCGGCUCCGUCAUGGGCUCAGUCCAUCCUCAACUUCCUAGUAAAUCAAGAUCUGUCGGCCGACGAAGUAGAGGCAAGACAAGUCCAACGCCGAGCCGGAGCAUACACAAUCGUCAACAGAGAGCUCGUCAAGCGCAGUGUCACUGGAGUCCUCCAGUGA